rnacentral:rRNA from 1 species
GACGAACGCUGGCGGCGUGCCUAAUACAUGCAAGUAGAACGCUGAAGCUUGGUGCUUGCACCGAGCGGAUGAGUUGCGAACGGGUGAGUAACGCGUAGGUAACCUGCCUGGUAGCGGGGGAUAACUAUUGGAAACGAUAGCUAAUACCGCAUAACAGUAGAUAUCGCAUGAUAGCUACUUGAAAGGUGCAAAUGCACCACUACCAGAUGGACCUGCGUUGUAUUAGCUAGUUGGUGAGGUAACGGCUCAACAAGGCAACGAUACAUAGCCGACCUGAGAGGGUGAUCGGCCACACUGGGACUGAGACACGGCCCAGACUCCUACGGGAGGCAGCAGUAGGGAAUCUUCGGCAAUGGACGGAAGUCUGACCGAGCAACGCCGCGUGAGUGAAGAAGGGUUUCGGAUCGUAAAGCUCUGUUGUAAGAGAAGAACGAGUGUGAGAGUGGAAAGUUCACACUGUGACGGUAUCUUACCAGAAAGGGACGGCUAACUACGUG